CAGCAGCCGCAGGAAUACAGAGGGUGCGAGCGUUAAUCGGAUUUACUGGGCGUAAAGCGUGCGUAGGCGGCUUUUUAAGUCGGAUGUGAAAUCCCUGAGCUUAACUUAGGAAUUGCAUUCGAUACUGGGAAGCUAGAGUAUGGGAGAGGAUGGUAGAAUUCCAGGUGUAGCGGUGAAAUGCGUAGAGAUCUGGAGGAAUACCGAUGGCGAAGGCAGCCAUCUGGCCUAAUACUGACGCUGAGGUACGAAAGCAUGGGGAGCAAACAGGAUUAGAUACCCCUGUAGUCCCUGUCUCUUAUAA
rnacentral:rRNA from 1 species